ACGUUAGCGGCGGACGGGUGAGUAACACGUGGGCAACCUGCCUGUAAGACUGGGAUAACUUCGGGAAACCGAAGCUAAUACCGGAUAGGAUCUUCUCCUUCAUGGGAGAUGAUUGAAAGAUGGUUUCGGCUAUCACUAGAUGGGCCCGCGGCGCAUUAGCUAGUUGGUGAGGUAACGGCUCACCAAGGCGACGAUGCGUAGCCGACCUGAGAGGGUGAUCGGCCACACUGGGACUGAGACACGGCCCAGACUCCUACGGGAGGCAGCAGUAGGGAAUCUUCCGCAAUGGACGAAAGUCUGACGGAGCAACGCCGCGUGAGUGAUGAAGGUUUUCGGAUCGUAAAACUCUGUUGUUAGGGAAGAACAAGUACCGGAGUAACUGCCGGUACCUUGACGGUACCUAACCAGAAAGCCACGGCUAACUACGUGCCAGCAGCCGCGGUAAUACGUAGGUGGCAAGCGUUGUCCGGAAUUAUUGGGCGUAAAGCGCGCGCAGGUGGUCUCUUAAGUCUGAUGUGAAAGCCCCCGGCUCAACCGGGGAGGGUCAUUGGAAACUGGGAGACUUGAGUGCAGGAGAGAAGAGUGGAAUUCCACGUGUAGCGGUGAAAUGCGUAGAGAUGUGGAGGAACACCAGUGGCGAAGGCGACUCUUUGGCCUGUAACUGACACUGAGGCGCGAAAGCGUGGGGAGCAAACAGGAUUAGAUACCCUGGUAGUCCACGCCGUAAACGAUGAGUGCUAAGUGUUAGAGGGUUUCCGCCCUUUAGUGCUGCAGCAAACGCAUUAAGCACUCCGCCUGGGGAGUACGGCCGCAAGGCUGAAACUCAAAGGAAUUGACGGGGGCCCGCACAAGCGGUGGAGCAUGUGGUUUAAUUUGAAGCAACGCGAAGAACCUUACCAGGUCUUGACAUCCUCUGACAACCCUAGAGAUAGGGCGUUCCCCUUCGGGGGACAGAGUGACAGGUGGUGCAUGGUUGUCGUCAGCUCGUGUCGUGAGAUGUUGGGUUAAGUCCCGCAACGAGCGCAACCCUUGAUCUUAGUUGCCAGCAUUCAGUUGGGCACUCUAAGGUGACUGCCGGUGACAAACCGGAGGAAGGUGGGGAUGACGUCAAAUCAUCAUGCCCCUUAUGACCUGGGCUACACACGUGCUACAAUGGGUGGUACAAAGGGCAAGACCGCGAGGUCAAGCCAAUCCCAUAAAACCAUUCUCAGUUCGGAUUGUAGGCUGCAACUCGCCUACAUGAAGCUGGAAUCGCUAGUAAUCGCGGAUCAGCAUGCCGCGGUGAAUACGUUCCCGGGCCUUGUACACAC
rnacentral:rRNA from 2 species